ACAGGAACCUACCUGCCUGACGUUGCUGCGCUUCAAACACCUCCUCUUCGCACCUGAUGGGGACGAGCGCGUGGCCACGUCUCAUCUGUUUUGAUCAUGUAUCUCUCGAUAUAUGGAGGAAGAAAUGUGACCUAUCAAUAAACAAACAAGGGGGAAAAAGAGACAGGUGUGCCGCACCUCUGAACUCCAGCCUCCUACAGUUCUGAGCAGGAUAAAUGAUAUAGAAAAAAUGGAUGGAUUCCUGGAUUGGUCUUGUUUGGCUCAUCACUCCAAGGCCUGUGGGACACUGAUAUACCGAUGUCAGGACACAAAUAUCAGGAUGCGUAACUGUACUGAAACCUGGCUGCCUCGCUGUGACGACUCCAGGUGCUGUGCACAGUCACUGCACACAACUGUUGUUUGCCAAAGAAAAACUUCCAAGAUGCAAAUUCUCCCUGAGGCCACAAAUUCUUUUAAGAUUUCUCUUUAGGUGUCUGUGAGAGAGAGACACAGUGGAAGAGCUAUGAGGAAGUGAACAGAGGUUCUGGCGGUGGAUCAAAUCAUGUGUUCAGAGUCAGCAUCAAUGCCUGACCUGGAUUUCAAGCUUCUCUCUUUCCCAUCUCUGGAGCCUCCAUUGUCUAUCUGACUGUGUAUCUGUGUGUGAGAGAGAGUAGACUAAAGUUGUACUGUUGGGAAGAAAAAAACAUUGGAAAGCAAGAACAAAAUGACCACAAAGAGGAAGUCAGUCCUGUCUUUUGAGAAACUGGAAUCUCCCUCAACAAUACUGCUCUCUUUGAUGAGAGACACCAAAACGCGAAAUAAACAAAUGAAGCAACAUAAUCAGCUGGCCAAUUGGCGUUUUUUUUUACUGCCGUUGUUGGUUUGCGUGUGUUGUCAUUGGCUGCGUCGUGUGUCGUCAUCGUCCUUCUGGGAGGAGCGCAGAGAGGCGGAGAAAUGAAGCCGGAAGGCUUAAACCAACGUUCGGACCGGCGUCUCGGUUUGUCAGUACUGUUUUAAAACCUAAUUACCGAAGAAGCCUGGAUGCUAAAACAAACUUUGGAGCUGCUUUUUUUGUCGAACACGAGUGAGGCUGAACGCUGAAUACACCUUCGGCUCCAAGGUAAGGCUAAGGAGCGAACUAGCGUCCCUGACAUGAAUUGAACUCCCAACGUGGAUGGGCGAAAACACUACGAACUCUCGAUAGUCUGUUUCAAUCCCUGUUAUAUUUGUUUACAGUCACUUUGCAUCCCUUGUCACUUUGUGUUCUACCCUGGCCAUUUUAACUCAGCGGUCUGUUAUAUUGUUGUCGUCGGUUUGUGGCCAUUUUGUAUUACAUUGCGUCUGUACUUUGCUGCUUUACACCAAGAUGUCAGCGUUAGCAUUAGUUGCGAGCAUUAGCAUUAGCCCUGUCUUUCAAUUUUGUAGUUGUUUUUAUUUUCG